rnacentral:rRNA from 1 species
GAGUUUGAUCUUGGCUCAGGAUGAACGCUGGCGGCGUGCCUAAUACAUGCAAGUCGAGCGAACGGACGAGAAGCUUGCUUCUCUGAUGUUAGCGGCGGACGGGUGAGUAACACGUGGAUAACCUACCUAUAAGACUGGGAUAACUUCGGGAAACCGGAGCUAAUACCGGAUAAUAUUUUGAACCGCAUGGUUCAAAAGUGAAAGACGGUCUUGCUGUCACUUAUAGAUGGAUCCGCGCUGCAUUAGCUAGUUGGUAAGGUAACGGCUUACCAAGGCAACGAUGCAUAGCCGACCUGAGAGGGUGAUCGGCCACACUGGAACUGAGACACGGUCCAGACUCCUACGGGAGGCAGCAGUAGGGAAUCUUCCGCAAUGGGCGAAAGCCUGACGGAGCAACGCCGCGUGAGUGAUGAAGGUCUUCGGAUCGUAAAACUCUGUUAUUAGGGAAGAACAUAUGUGUAAGUAACUGUGCACAUCUUGACGGUACCUAAUCAGAAGGCCACGGCUAACUACGU